rnacentral:rRNA from 1 species
GUAAUGAUGUUUAUGGUGCCGGCAAAGGCAUCAGCACCGUGUACGGCAGAACCGGGACCGCGGACAACUUCAACCCGGGAAAUAUUGGCGACAGGCAUAUUCAUGGUGGUUAAUCUGCUGCCGGUAUAGGUAAAUGUCAACGGAUUACCGUUCAUCAGAAAAAGAACAUGCGGGUUGAGACUGG